rnacentral:rRNA from 1 species
GAGGAAAAGAAACCAACAGGGAUUGCCCUAGUAACGGCGAGUGAAGCGGCAACAGCUCAAAUUUGAAAGCUAGCCUUCGGGUUCGCAUUGUAAUUUGUAGAGGAUGAUUUGGGGAAGCCGCCUGUCUAAGUUCCUUGGAACAGGACGUCAUAGAGGGUGAGAAUCCCGUAUGUGACAGGAAAUGGCACCCUAUGUAAAUCUCCUUCGACGAGUCGAGUUGUUUGGGAAUGCAGCUCUAAAUGGGAGGUAAAUUUCUUCUAAAGCUAAAUAUUGGCGAGAGACCGAUAGCGCACAAGUAGAGUGAUCGAAAGAUGAAAAGCACUUUGGAAAGAGAGUUAAAAAGCACGUGAAAUUGUUGAAAGGGAAGCGCUUGCAAUCAGACUUGUUUAAACUGUUCGGCCGGUCUUCUGACCGGUUUACUCAGUUUGGACAGGCCAGCAUCAGUUUCGGCGGCCGGAUAAAGGCUCUGGGAAUGUGGCCUCCACUUCGGUGGAGGUGUUAUAGCCCAGGGUGUAAUACGGCCAGCCGGGACUGAGGUCCGCGCUUCGGCUAGGAUGCUGGCGUAAUGGUUGUAAGCGACCCGUCUA